CCUACGGGCGGCAGCAGUGGGGAAUAUUGCGCAAUGGGCGAAAGCCUGACGCAGCGACGCCGCGUGAGGGAUGACGGUCUUCGGAUCGUAAACCUCUGUCAGCAAGGAAGAACGGUCACUGUGCUAAGCAGCAGUGAAUUGACGGUACGUGCAAAGGAAGCACCGGCUAACUCCGUGCCAGCAGCCGCGGUAAUAGGGAGGGGGCGAGCGUUAAUCGGAAUUACUGGGCGUAAAGGGCUCGUAGGCGGUAUGUCAAUUCAAGGGUGAAAUCCCCGGGCUCAACGUGGGAACUGCCUUUGAAACUGGUGAACUGGAGUGUGUGAGAGGAUAGUGGAAUUCCAGGUGUAGGGGUGA
rnacentral:rRNA from 1 species